ACGUCGGAUUAUUUGUAAGCUGAGGUGGGGCCCACACAUCGAGAUUUUUUUUGGACAUCUGAAAAGUCAUAUGAAUCACAUAUGUGAAGUUAAACACAACUCAAGAAGGACCCUUGGGCCAAAUCAAAGUGGAAGUCCUCCAAACGAAUAUUUUUAAGAAAACGUUUUCGGGUGAUCUGACUUUUAGGGGCAAAAACGGUAUUAUAAGUUUGGAAUUUGGAAAAAUACCAAGAAAUAGAAGUUGUAGAUAAUUGAAUUAGCUUUCCAACCAUAGGUCGUGGGUUCUCAGGUGACGUCGGUGCAAGGAGAUAUGGACGUUUUAAGGUCGAAAGGUCAGUGGGCUAGGCCCAACUCGGGAUCAACCGAGUUGGCCCAAAAAAAAAAAAAAACGAAUUAAGGCCCAAAGAGAGAAGGGUGGCCGGCCAAGCCUAAGGCCCAAACCAUGAUUCUAAUAUUUCCCAUGUGCUAAAAUGAAUAUAAGGGUCAUUUAUCCAUUAGAAAGUUCUUGAAACAUAGAAGAGAAAAACAAAGCAACAAGAAGAGCAAAUUAGAAGGCCAUACACGGCCAUGACCCAAGAAAAUUCACCCCUUAAAAUCUUCUCCCAAAAAUUAUUUUCUUGUGGUAUUCCUACUAAUUCAAGGGUCCUUUACAACUUGGUGUAAUUAUUUUGGAAGAAAGAGCACUUGUUUCUUCAAGUUGACAACUUGGUCAAGUGAAAAAGAUUGUAGAAAAAGAUUUUGGCGAACUUGAAACUUGAUUUUGGAGACGUGUAUGAAGCGGAAAAGGUCAGCAGACAGGUGGACGUGAUCCUUAGAAGCUCUACCAGCCGCACUUGACAGCGCUCCAGUUGUUCCGGAGCCUCACUCCAGCGGUACUAUUUUAUGCAUAUACAUUCGGGCUUGGUAGCACCCCGGCCCUUUCUAUGUAUAAGUGUACUAUGUCUAGAGGCUCGUAGACAGAUACGUACAGUCAGUCAGGUACAUAUAUGUGUAUAGUGUUUUGGCAUGUUAAUAUUGUUGUACAAGGUAAUAACGGAGUUUAUUAGUUUAUGUUCAAGGAAAAAAAAAUGGCUCGGUUUACACGGCUUGCUAAGAGGUACAGGUAAUACGAUAGAUAA